CCCAGACUCCUACGGGAGGCAGCAGUGGGGAAUAUUGCACAAUGGGGGGAACCCUGAUGCAGCGACGCCGCGUGGGUGAAGGAGCACCUCGGUGCGUAAAGCCCUAUCGGCAGGGAAGAAAAGCGAACAGGUUCGCCUGGACGGUACCUGACUAAGAAGCCCCGGCUAACUACGUGCCAGCAGCCGCGGGAAUACGGAGGGGGCAAGCGUUAUCCGGAUUUACUGGGUGUAAAGGGAGCGUAGACGGCUGCGCAAGUCGGAAGUGAAAGCCCGGGGCUCAACCGCGGGACUGCUUUUGAAACUGUGUAGCUAGAGUGCAGGAGAGGUAAGUGGAAUUCCUAGUGUAGCGGUGAAAUGCGUAGAUAUUAGGAGGAACACCGGUGGCGAAGGCGGCUUACUGGACUGUAACUGACGUUGAGGCUCGAAAGCGUGGGGAGCAAACAGGAUUAGAUACCCGUGUA
rnacentral:rRNA from 1 species